rnacentral:rRNA from 1 species
GACGGGGGGUCCUAGCGUUGUUCGGAAUUAUUGGGCGUAAAGCGUGUGCAGGUGGUUUUGAAAGUUAGAUGUGAAAGCCCCGGGCUUAACUCGGGAAGGGCAUUUAAAACUCCAAAACUUGAGUAUGGAAGAGGGUCGUGGAAUUCCUGGUGUAGUGGUGAAAUACGUAGAUAUCAGGAGGAACACCGGCGGCGAAGGCGGCGACCUGGUCCAAUACUGACACUCAUACACGAAAGCGUGGGGAUCAAACAGG